rnacentral:rRNA from 1 species
AUUGAACGCUGGCGGCAUGCUCAACACAUGCAAGUCGAACGGUAGCAGACCUAGCUUGCUAGGUGCUGACGAGUGGCGGACGGGUGAGUAACGCGUGGGAAUCUGCCCAGUAGCGGGGGACAACUCGGGGAAACUCGAGCUAAUACCGCAUACGCCCUACGGGGAAAGGGACUUCGGCCACUAUUGGAUGAGCCCGCGUCGGAUUAGCUUGUUGGUGGGGUAAGUGGCCUACCAAGGCGACGAUCCGUAGCUGGUCUGAGAGGAUGAUCAGCCACACUGGGACUGAGACACGGCCCAGACUCCUACGGGAGGCAGCAGUGGGGAAUAUUGGACAAUGGGCGAAAGCCUGAUCCAGCAAUGCCGCGUGUGUGAAGAAGGCCUGAGGGUUGUAAAGCACUUUCAAUCGUGAAGAAAAGUUAGCAGGCUAAUACCCUGUGACCUUGACGUUAACGAUACAAGAAGACACCGGCUAACUCCGUGCCAGCAG